UAGAUUGAUAUGGUAUACG
rnacentral:sRNA from 1 species